rnacentral:rRNA from 1 species
AGUGAACGCUGGCGGUAGGCCUAACACAUGCAAGUCGAACGGCAGCACAAUAAGAGCUUGCUCUUACGGGUGGCGAGUGGCGGACGGGUGAGGAAUACAUCGGAAUCUACUUUUUCGUGGGGGAUAACGUAGGGAAACUUACGCUAAUACCGCAUACGACCUACGGGUGAAAGCAGGGGAUCUUCGGACCUUGCGCGAUUGAAUGAGCCGAUGUCGGAUUAGCUAGUUGGCGGGGUAAAGGCCCACCAAGGCGACGAUCCGUAGCUGGUCUGAGAGGAUGAUCAGCCACACUGGAACUGAGACACGGUCCAGACUCCUACGGGAGGCAGCAGUGGGGAAUAUUGGACAAUGGGCGCAAGCCUGAUCCAGCCAUACCGCGUGGGUGAAGAAGGCCUUCGGGUUGUAAAGCCCUUUUGUUGGGAAAGAAAAGCAGCAGGUUAAAACCCCGCUGUUCUGACGGUACCCAAAGAAUAAGCACCGGCUAACUUCGU